rnacentral:rRNA from 1 species
AUUGAACGCUGGCGGCAGGCCUAACACAUGCAAGUCGAACGAGUGGCGGACGGGUGAGUAAUGUCUGGGAAACUGCCUGAUGGAGGGGGAUAACUACUGGAAACGGUAGCUAAUACCGCAUACCAUCGGAUGUGCCCAGAUGGGAUUAGCUAGUAGGUGGGGUAAAGGCUCACCUAGGCGACGAUCCCUAGCUGGUCUGAGAGGUUGACCAGCCACACUGGGACGGAAACACGGUCCAGACGCAUACGGUAGGCAGCAUGGGGGAAUAUUGCACAAUGGACGCAAGCCUGAUGCAGCCAUGCCGCGUGUAUGAAGAAGGCCUUCGGGUUUUAAAGUACUUUCAGCGGGCAGGCUUUCCCCGCAGAAGAAGCCCCGGCUAACUCCGUGCCAGCAGCCGCGGUAAUUC